rnacentral:lncRNA from 1 species
UAUUUUAAUUUUCAAAUGACUCACUUUAACUACGAAUGUAAAUAGUAAUAAACUAGUGUUCAACCCCCGCGUUGCGGGGCGGGGGUCGUAAAACCGUAUUAAGUAUGUUUCUAAGAUCCUACUUUAAUUACUAUACUUUUGGGUUAACCUGCACGUUGUAGCGAGUUUUGUAGCGGCAUCUUACAUGCUUUACAAACAGGGGCCCUUUCAUAUUGUUACCUAGAGAUAAGAUAAAACCAUUUAGCCAAACCAAAACCUACAAAACUGAACGAUAACCAACAAUCAUGGUUUGGUUAUGCGGUGCGUUAAAACCGAAACGUGAGGCGGCACUGCACCUUUUUUUUGCACCACACUAAAUUUUAUUUGAACGGUUGUUAUUAAAUUAUAGCACAUUUCAUUUUUUUGGAAUAAAACUUUCUAAACUAAAUGUUAUAAACACACCUUUUGGUUAGCUGUCAUUUUUUAAUUGCAAUUAAGGAUUCAUAAUGCUUUUACCUGAUCAAACACACCCUGCAAUUUACUUUUUCUUUUGACUGUUUCUAGAAACCACAAGCAACCCCUGCCUUCAUCCACACACAAUCAAACCUGGAAUAUUUUUUGUCACUCAUAUGUGAACAGUUCAAAUUAUACUCAUCCCUUCUUCCCUAAAGACGAUAUGUACUGAUAUAGUGAUACAAUUACUUAUCUUUACACCGAUACAACCAAUUUAUAGAAGAUUUAUAUAUGGAAGAUUUCUUCACAAAUUAUAAUUUCUUCUCGCUCGUUGGUAUCCUUGUCUAAAUGUAUAACUAAGAUGUUAUUUAGGUGGUCGGAUGUCGCCCAUCUGAACAUGCAUGGCGAAAACGACUCGCCAGAGAUUGCCCGAAACGUCGCCGGAACCCUAGCCGCCAUCGUUGGAGGCGGCGGCUAGGUGGUGAAACACCCUCAACGAUCUCCUUGCAGCCAUAGUAUUCAUUGAUGGUAUUUGUUGUAGACGUCGGACACUGUUUUGAGGUGGACCAUUGAUGGUGUUGCCGCCGUAGCGCCGCCACGGAACCACCGUCCUCGGCCCCUCCCUUCUAACUCCUUAUCUCUAACUCUUUGUGUCGAUAACCAUCUCUUUCUACUCCUCACGUUUUCUAUCUCUCUUCCUUUUAAUUUGAACAAAGGCGGUUAGGAACCUAGGGUUUUUUCAUUGAUAUAAGCAGGUGGGUGCCGUGAUGGCGACUGGAAUUAAGACAAGAUAUAUGUAAAACUAAAGGCGUACCUUGUUAUGUAGGAUUGACGCUUCUUCGUCAAAAGACAGCCACGACUCCUCUUGACUUAUCUGCAUAAUAUGUGUUACCAAAUUCACAUUCUACCAUUUUUAUACGGUCAACAAACAGUCAAGCACAAAGUAAACAUACCUUGGGAGCUAAAGUGGCUUUUGAGUCAUCCUGCGCUUCAGCUUUUGUCGUUGCAGACCCGUCAAAUAUAGACGGAAGCUCUUGAACUAGAAGUUUCGAACCUUGUGCAAAUAGCAGAUCAAGCAAUUCGGGAGCCUGCACAAAAAUAUAUUAUUCACUUAAAUGAGUUAUGGUUCAAUCGUCUAGAGCUCGGACAGUGAAUGCUAAUGAUACUCCGGUCUUUUUAACUCCAUCCAGAUAAAUUUUGUAUUUUUACAUUGGCGUAAAAGUUUACUAGUUAACAUAAUAUAUACACACACACUUAAUAUAUUAAUUAUAAAUUGUAUAAAUAACGUGCUUGUUUAGGCUCAUGAGCCAGCUCGAGUUCGUUUACUAAACAAGCUUAUUUUUAGUCCCAGGCUCGUUUCGAGUAGCAUGCAAGUAGUUCGGCUCGUUUACACCCCUAACUUAAACAACUAACCAAGUUACUUAUAC